rnacentral:ncRNA from 1 species
GUAUGAUAAGGGCAAAACCGCUGAAAAGUGGUGACGCAAAGCUAAAGGGACUAAAUUGGCAAUCCUGUCUAGUGUCCAAUAUGUCAGCCAGCUACCGCC